rnacentral:RNase_P_RNA from 1 species
AAAGCGGGCCAGGCGAUCGCGCGUGCGGCAUGUUCGCAUGUGAGGAAAGUCCGGGCUCCACAGGGCAGGAUGCUGGCUAACGGCCAGGCGGGGCGACCCGACGGAAAGUGCCGCAGAAAAGAAGACUCCCACCUACGACUCGUCGUAAAGGGAAAAGCUGAAACGGUGGUGUAAGAGACCACCAGCGUCGUGGCAACAUGGCGGCUUGGUAAACCCCAUCCGGAGCAAGCGCAAAUAGGAACGCGAUGGGCCGGCCCGGUCCGCGUUCGGGUAGCGUGCGUGGAACUGCACGGUGACGUGCAGGCAAGAUAAAUGAUCGCCCGCGACAGAACCCGGCUUAUCGGCCCGCUUUGCCU